UUUAUUUGUAGUUUCAUCCUGGCUUACAGUGAACGUUAAAUAUGUACUUAAUACAUGUAAGUUGAUGUUGGCAUUUAGGUAUGUUGACGUAGCUAAAAGGUGAGUAAUAUGUAUGAACCUAUUUUUGAGUUUGAUUUUUCUUUAGUAAAGUAAAUAAAUUUUUAUAUAAAAAAAAGAUUAAUUACUUCUAAAUGGGCAUACGCACGUUUGAAUAGUUGGUGGGGUAAAAGCUUACCAAGUUUAUUAUCGUUAGUUGAUUUGAAAGAAUGAUCAGCCACAUCGGAGUUGAAAUAGAACACGAACUUCCACGGAGGGCUACAGUAAGGAAUAAUGGGCAAGAAGCGUAAGCUUGACCAUGUAACAUAUAGUGGGUGUUUAGGGGAAACUAUAAAACCUUUUCGAUAAUUAAAAUUAUGAUAUUAAUUAAGGUAAGAAGUCCUCACUAAUUUUGUGCCAGCAGUUGCGGUAAUACAGAAGGGGCUAACGUUAUUGUGCGUAAUUUGGCGUAAAGGAUAUGUAGGCGCUAUUAAAUUAAAAAUAAUUGUAAAAUUUUUAAAAAAUGUUUAAAUAUUUAAUUAUAAUGUAAUAGUAGAGUUUAGAACAGGUUAUUAGAAUUUUAGAUGUAGGGAUUAAAUCUGAAGAGAUCAAAAAGAAUGCCGUGUUGUGAAAACUUUUGACUAGUUUUAAACUGACGUUGAGGUAUGAAGGUAUAGGUAGCAAACAGGAUUUGGUACCCUGGUAGUCUAUACAGUAAACAAUGAGUGUUAAUUGUUGGUUUUCCAGUAAUUUAGUUAACGCGUGAAACACUCCGCCUGGAGAGUAGUGUCGCAAGGCUGAAACUUAAAGGAUGUGGCGUAAGAUUUUUACAUACGGUGGAGCGUGUAGUUUAAUCUGAUGAUCCGCAAAGAAUCUUACCAGUUUUAUUCGAAAAUAUUAUUAUUUUCUUAUUGGUGCUGCAUGGCUGUUGUCAGCUUGUGUCGUGAGACGUUCAUUUAAUUAUGAAAAACAAGUGCAAUCUUUUUUUUAAAUAUUUAAUUUUUUAAAAAUAAUUUUUUUUUUAAUUAAGAUGACUUCAAGUCGUUAUGGCCCUUAUAGAUUGGGCGACAUAUGCGCUACAAAAAUAAGUACAGAAAGAAGCUAUAGCGUGAGCUGGUGAUAUCUUAAAACUUUUUUUAGUUCGGAUUGUUUUCUGCAACUUGAAAAUAUGAAGCUGGAAUCGUUAGUAAUCGUAUAUCAUUAUGAUACGGUGAAUAGUUAUAUUUCUUUGUACAACCCGCUCGUCACGGUUUGGAAACUUGUCUGCUUAAAACUUUCUUUUAAAAAUUAUUAACUUGUGUUUUUAAUUUUAAGAUGUGUCUGCCGGGUCGGUAACUGAAACGAAGUCGAAACAAGGUAAUUGUAAGGGAACUUGCAGUUGGAAUAUUAAUUUA
rnacentral:rRNA from 1 species